UACAGAGGGUGCGAGCGUUGUCCGGAAUUACUGGGCGUAAAGGGCGCGUAGGCGGUCGUGACAAGUCACUUGUGAAAUCUCCGGGCUUAACUCGGAACGGUCAAGUGAUACUGUCGGACUAGAGUACAGAAGGGGCAACUGGAAUUCUCGGUGUAGCGGUGAAAUGCGUAGAUAUCGAGAGGAACACCUGCGGCGAAGGCGGGUUGCUGGGCUGAUACUGACGCUGAGGCGCGAAAGCCAGGGGAGCGAACGGG
rnacentral:rRNA from 1 species